GUUUACCUUCACAACCGAGAUGUUGGAGCUCAGGAGGCAGUCUACAAGCUCAGCAACAUGCACUUAAAAGAGUGCUCUCGGAAGGUGGUUUUUGUACCGACAGGUGACAAUGUUGUCAGGAUCAGCAAGCCAUUGACUGUGUUAAAAGACAUGGCUGCUGAAUCCACAGAACAGAUGUGGAUGAUCAACUUUGUUGACCGUUAUAAAAACAGACCCAGAGAUCAUAUAUUUGAAGCCAUGUGCCUUGUCCAUUUUGCUGCUGAGUAUCGUGUGCUCUACAAAGGUGAAAAAUCAAAAAACCGAAUUGAACUUGAUAACGGCUGUGGGUUUGUGUUGAGAAGAACCCGUACGCAGCCUGCUGUUGUAAGGUACGCAAGAUUCUCUGAGACUAAAAGUCCAGAGUUAUUUCACCAAAGCAUUUUGCAGCUGUUUCUUCCGUAUCGUACAGAAGAACAGCUAAAGCCAGAGGGAUUUGUCACUUUUGAAGACUUUUACAAAACUGGCCGUGUCAUCAUUGCUGAUGGACAGCUACGUUCAGUGAAGUCAGUUGUGGACUCGAAUCGCUGCAAUUAUGAAAUAGAUGCUGAUGACUUAGAUGAGGUUUUGGAUUCUGUAAAUUUUGAUGGUCCUCUAGAAGAUGCGUGGGGGCAGUUGUUCCCACAGCAAGAAACUGAACGCCUGGAGUCGAUCCAGGAAAGGGCAGAGCAGAUAGAGGUAGAAAAUGACCCAGUGGAACAUAUUCCUGAUCUGGCUGGGGGUGUAGAGCAGGCUAAGGUAACUAAGUGCAACAAUUUAAGUAGAAG